rnacentral:rRNA from 1 species
GCGUGUGCGAAGAAGGCCUUCGGGUUGUAAAGCACUUUUGUCAGGAACGAAACGGCUCGUAUUAAUACCAUGGGCUAAUGACGGUACCUGAAGAAUAAGCACCGGCUAACUACGUGCCAGCAGCCGCGGUAAGACGUAGGGUGCAAGCGUUAAUCGGAAUUACUGGGCGUAAAGCGUGCGCAGGCGGUUUUGUAAGACAGAUGUGAAAUCCCCGGGCUCAACCUGGGAACUGCAUUUGUGACUGCAAGGCUAGAGUGCGUCAGAGGGAGGUGGAAUUCCGCGUGUAGCAGUGAAAUGCGU